GACAGAGGGUGCAACCGUUGUUCGGAAUUACUGGGCGUAAAGCGCGUGUAGGCGGCCCUGCAAGUCGGAUGUGAAAUCCCACGGCUCAACCGUGGAAGUGCAUUCGAAACUGCAGGGCUAGAGUCCUGGAGAGGAAGGUGGAAUGCUUGGUGUAGAGGUGAAAUUCGUAGAUAUCAAGCGGAACACCGGUGGCGAAGGCGGCCUUCUGGACAGUGACUGACGCUGAGACGCGAAAGCGUGGGGAGCAAACGGG
rnacentral:rRNA from 1 species